UACGGAGGGUGCAAGCGUUAUCCGGAUUCACUGGGCUUAAAGGGCGCGUAGGUGGGUUGGUAAGUCAGUGGUGAAAUCUCCGGGCUUAACUCGGAAACUGCCGUUGAUACUAUCAAUCUUGAAUAUCGAGUAGGUAAGCGGAAUAUGUCAUGUAGCGGUGAAAUGCUUAGAUAUGACAUAGAACACCAAUUGCGAAGGCAGCUUACUUCACGAUCAUUGACACUGAGGCACGAAAGCGUGGGGAGCAAACAGG
rnacentral:rRNA from 1 species